GGACACUUUUAUCUCCGGUUUAAACCAAGCAAAAUAAAAAUACAACCUACCCUUUGGGGGAUGGGGGAAAGAACCUGCCACCACAAAACCUAAGAGUGGCACAAGUGGCCUUUUCUCAUUGCUAUUUACAUCCCUGGGUGUUUCCACCAUUGCAGAACCAGAGACUUAACACAAAGAAACCUGCUGCCAAAAUACUGUGCAGUUUCCCAGGUUGCUAUUGUCUGCUUUUUCUAACCAGGAUCGGGCAGCUCCUAGGGUGCAGGAAGCCAACCAUGGCUGAACUUUGCUCUAGUUUCAAAAUGUAAAUGAGCAAGUAGCAGGAGGAAGUGCCCAGAAACAGAUCUGAGCUGUCAACCCCAGGGGAGCCCCAAGCGGCUACUCCCAGGGAGGGAGGAGGGAGGCCCCGGGGGAGGGCGACCCUGAAGGCUGGGAAACAGGUUUGCAUGUUCGAAAGCAAAUUGCCCAGGUCUCUGGGGCGGAUUGCACAAUCUUGCAAUCUUCCAAGCAAGAGAGGAAGAAAGGAGAGCCGGGGUGUGGGGAUCAGGCCAGUUUUUAUACGCGAUCUUGUCUAAACAAGACUCUUAUCGAAGAGUAAUCCUAAACGCUGGCCUUUCUUAAUACCUCAGCUCCCUGGGGAAUGGGUAUGUGACUUUUGAGUUCCAGGAGGGGGAUUAAAUUGCCUCUUGGAGAUGAGAGCCCCACAUGAGCAGAUAAGGUUGAUAGAAAUGGCGGGGGAGGGGGGAUUCUCUUGUGUCCCAUGGGGAUGGUCUUCCAGAUCCAUUAUCUUCCGCUGCACAAGGGGUGCUGGAGACAGAAGAAAGCUGAUGUCUACUUACAGAGCAGCCUUUGGGGGGCGCAGCCCUGGGCUGCAGGUGCUGAGGAGGGGGUGGGAGACGGAGGAAGGGGCCUCGCUGGCUCUGCAAGGAUCAGCUGAACAGGUGCAGGGCCUUAAGUUUUACUUCUAUUUAUUUAUUUAUUUUAUCUUUUGUCUUUUUAGGGCCACACCCGCAGCAUAUGGAGGUUCCCAGUCUAGGGGUUGAAUGGGAGCUGUAGCCACCAGCCUACACAUGCCACAGCCACAGCAAUGUGGGAUCCGAGUGGCAUCUGCGACCUACACCACAGUCCACAUCAAUGCUGGAUCUUUAACCCAUUGAUGGAGGCCAAGGAUCAAACCUGCAUCCUCAAGGAUACUAGUCAGAUUGGUUUCUGCUGAGCCAUGAUGGGAACUCCUAAUUUUUAUUUUUUUAUUUUUUAUUUUUACUUUUGUCUUUUUAGGGCUGUACCUGUGGCAUAUGAAAGAUCCCAUGCUAGGGGCCAAAUAGGAGCUGCAGCUGCCACCUAAGCCACAGCCAUAGCAACUCCAGAUCCAAGUUGCAUCUGCAAACUACACCACAGCUCAUGAAAAUCCUGGAUCCUUAACCCACUGAGCAAGGCCAGCAUAGUCAUGGAUACUAGUCAGGUUCAUAACCGCUGAGCCAUGAAGGGAACUCCUAAGUUUUAAAGCUCGAUUAAAUCACUAUAAUGUGCCUCACACCCUGUUGCAUGCUCCAGAAAAAAAACUCAAAUAGUUGACAUAUAAUUAAAUGUGUAAUUAGUCUACCAAGUUCACAGCACCAAGAUAGUGUUAGGGAAG
rnacentral:lncRNA from 1 species